AGACGGGGCGGGGCGAUCCGUAGGCAGGGCCUGACGCCGCAGUUCUCCUUGGCCGGAGCCUCAACGGAUGGGCGGGGAGGGGGCGGGGCCGGGCAACCCGGAAGGUCCGGCGUCCCAGCCGCCUACCUCGCUGGGACCCUGGUCUUGCUGUCCCCCGCUGGCCUCCUGCCCAAGCGACUGCGGCCAGGAUGGGCCGGAAGGUGACCGUGGCCACCUGCGCACUCAACCAGUGGGCCCUGGACUUCGAGGGCAAUUUGCAAAGAAUUUUAAAGAGUAUUGAAAUUGCCAAAAACAGAGGAGCAAGAUACAGGCUUGGACCAGAGCUGGAAAUAUGCGGCUACGGAUGUUGGGAUCAUUAUUACGAGUCGGACACCCUCUUGCACUCGUUUGAAGUCCUAGCGGCCCUUCUGGAGUCUCCCGUCACUCAGGACAUCAUCUGCGACGUGGGGAUGUAAGUGCCAGUGUGAGUGUGGAAGGGUAAACCUGGGACAAAGGCAAGCUCAAGGGCGUGACCCACCCAACCGGCCUCCAUCCAGGGUGUGGAACAUCCAUGUGUCCAGGGAUACGAAAGGCCUUAUGCUUGAAAAGUGGGUUUUGUUCCUAUCUCAGCCCCGUAAGCCACCUCAUUUCCCCUGCAAGGAGGGAGCUCCUGAAAGCAGGAUGUGUCAGUUCUUCCAGAAAGUCCUGUGCACACAUCAGCAGACUCUGCACAAAGGGGAAUGCAGCAUUCACCCCACCCCGUGCAGAGAGCUUGACUCACAUCACAGGGAGCCCUGGGGCUCGUUCCAUGUCCACAUGUUGCCACACGGUUCCCAUGUCCUAGGCUGCAUAUGUGUAGCUCCACAAGGAAGGCCUCUGCAUGCUCCAUGCUGGUGUCUGUGCUGUACCCUGCAUCGCCGGUCCCUAUGGAGGCCUCUGCACACGCUGUGCUGGUGUCUGUGCUGUACCCUGCAUAGCCAGUCC
rnacentral:sRNA from 1 species